rnacentral:rRNA from 1 species
CCUUGACAUCCUGCGAACCUUCUAGAGAUAGGAGGGUGCCUUCGGGAACGCAGAGACAGGUGCUGCAUGGCUGUCGUCAGCUCGUGUUGUGAAAUGUUGGGUUAAGUCCCGUAACGAGCGCAACCCCUGUCCUUAGUUACCAGCACGUGAAGGUGGGCACUCUAGGGAGACUGCCGGUGACAAACCGGAGGAAGGUGGGGACGACGUCAAGUCAUCAUGGCCCUUACGGCCAGGGCUACACACGUGCUACAAUGGGACGUACAAACGGUUGCGAAGCAGCAAUGUGAAGCUAAUCUGAGAAAACGUCCCGUAGUCCGGAUUGGGGUCUGCAACUCGACCCCAUGAAGUCGGAAUCGCUAGUAAUCGCAAAUCAGAAUGUUGCGGUGAAUACGUUCCCGGGCCUUGUACACACCGCCCGUCACACCAUGGGAGUGGGUUGCUCCAGAAGUGGCUAGCUUAACCUUCGGGAGAGCGGUCACCACGGAGUGAUUCAUGACUGGGGUG